rnacentral:rRNA from 1 species
UGAGGAAUAUUGGUCAAUGGACGCAAGUCUGAACCAGCCAAGUAGCGUGCAGGAUGACGGCCCUAUGGGUUGUAAACCGCUUUCAGCAGGGAAGAUAGUGACGGUACCUGCACAAGAAGCCCCGGCUAACUACGUGCCAGCAGCCGCGGUAAUACGUAGGGGGCGAGCGUUAUCCGGAUUCAUUGGGCGUAAAGCGCGCGCAGGCGGCUCUUCAAGCGGAACCUCUAACCCCGGGGCUCAACCUCGGGCCGGGUUCCGAACUGGAGGGCUCGAGUGCGGUAGAGGCAGGCGGAAUUCCCGGUGUAGCGGUGGAAUGCGCAGAUAUCGGGAAGAACACCGAUGGCGAAGGCAGCCUGCUGGGCCGGCACUGACGCUGAGGCGCGAAAGCUAGGGGAGCGAACAGG